rnacentral:rRNA from 1 species
AACGAACGCUGGCGGCGCGCCUAACACAUGCAAGUCGAGCGUGAAAGUGUAGCAAUACAUGAGUAAAGCGGCGCACGGGUGAGUAACGCGUAGGUGAUCUACCUUUGUGACCGGGAUAACCAGCCGAAAGGUUGGCUAAUACUGGAUAGAGCGCAUGACCUGUAAGGGUCGUGCGGAAAGGGUGGCCGUAGCAAUACGGCUACUGCACUGGAUGAGCCNGCGUCUCAUUAGCUAGUUGGUAGGGUAA